rnacentral:lncRNA from 1 species
CAAGUCACAUUUACUUAAAAUGUCCAGGUAAAUUUUUGAUUAGUUACUAUAAUGUUUUCCUCAUUUUUCCCAGCAUGAUGGGUAAUGGUCCAUACUAAAUAAACUUGAUAAAUUGCCUUAGAUAUAUACAUUUUUACCCCAUUAUCCUCCCCACCAACUCUUCUAUAUCAUAGCAGAUUGUACCAGAGAUAACACCUUCUUGGGGAGUUACUACAUGGUUUGACCAAUGACUUAAUGCAAGUUUCCUCAGAUUUCCUUUCUGGAAUUCUGAAUAGGGAAUUG